rnacentral:rRNA from 1 species
UCUGCUUGCACUAUAUGAGCAGUCUAGCCUGCCCACUGAGUUAUUAAAGGGCCGCGGUAAUUUGACCGUGCGAAGGUAGCAUAAUCAGUAGUCUUUUAAUUGGAGGCUNGUAUGAAUGGUUGGAUGAGGGACACACUGUCUCUUUCUUUUGUAAGAAAUUAACUUUUAAGUGAAAAGGCUUAAAUUUUAUGAAGUGACGAUAAGACCCUAUAAAACUUUAUAUGUUUCAUUUUUGGUUAAUAAUUGUGUUUAAGUUGAUCUUAGGUGGGUCGUAUUUCGUUGGGGAAACGAUGAUAUAAAUUGUAAUUGUCUAUAAAAUUUAAUAACUAUAAUUAGAUUAUGAUCCUUUUUAAGGAUUAGAAGAUUAAGUUACUUUAGGGAUAACAGCGUGAUUUUUUCUGAGAGUUCUUAUCGACGAAAAUAGUUGCGACCUCGAUGUUGAAUUAAAAUUUCUGGUUGGUGUAGCCGCUUGUCCAGUGGGUCUGUUCGACCUUUAAAAUUUUACA